rnacentral:rRNA from 1 species
AGUGAACGCUGGCGGUAGGCCUAACACAUGCAAGUCGAACGGCAGCACAGUAAGAGCUUGCUCUUACGGGUGGCGAGUGGCGGACGGGUGAGGAAUACAUCGGAAUCUACUUUUUCGUGGGGGAUAACGCAGGGAAACUUACGCUAAUACCGCAUACGACCUACGGGUGAAAGUAGGGGAUCUUCGGACCUUGCGCGAUUGAAUGAGCCGAUGUCGGAUUAGCUAGUUGGCGGGGUAAAGGCCCACCAAGGCGACGAUCCGUAGCUGGUCUGAGAGGAUGAUCAGCCACACUGGAACUGAGACACGGUCCAGACUCCUACGGGAGGCAGCAGUGGGGAAUAUUGGACAAUGGGCGCAAGCCUGAUCCAGCCAUACCGCGUGGGUGAAGAAGGCCUUCGGGUUGUAAAGCCCUUUUGUUGGGAAAGAAAAGCAGCAGGUUAAUACCCCGCUGUUCUGACGGUACCCAAAGAAUAAGCACCGGCUAACUUCGUG